UACGGGGGGGGGCAAGCGUUGUUCGGAAUUACUGGGCGUAAAGGGCUCGUAGGCGGCCAACUAAGUCGGACGUGAAAUCCCUCGGCUUAACCGGGGGAACUGCGUGUGAUACUGGAUGGCUUGGAUUUGGGAGAGGGAUGCGGAAUUCCAGGUGUAGCGGUGAAAUGCGUAGAUAUCUGGAGGAACACCGGUGGCGAAGGCGGCAUCCUGGACCAUUACUGACACUGAAAAAGCGAAAGCCAGGGGAGCAAACGGG
rnacentral:rRNA from 1 species